rnacentral:rRNA from 1 species
GUGCCAGCAGCCGCGGUAAUACAGAGGCCUCAAGCGUUGUUCGGAAUCACUGGGCGUAAAGGGUGCGUAGGCGGCGCGGAAAGUCAGGGGUGAAAUCCCGGAGCUCAACUCCGGAACUGCCUUUGAUACUCCCGCGCUUGAGAACUGGAGGGGACAUCGGAAUUCACGGUGGAGCAGUGAAAUGCGUGGAUAUCGUGAGGAACACUAGUGGCGAAGGCGGAUGUCUGGACAGUAUCUGACGCUGAGGCACGAAGGCCAGGGGAGCGAACGGGAUUAGAUACCCCGGUAGUCCUGGCAGUAAACGGUGCACGCUUGGUAUGGGGGGAAUC